rnacentral:rRNA from 1 species
GACGAACGCUGGCGGCGUGCUUAACACAUGCAAGUCGAACGGAAAGGCCCUGCUUUUGUGGGGUGCUCGAGUGGCGAACGGGCGAGUAACACGUGAGUAACCUGCCCUUGACUUUGGGAUAACUUCAGGAAACUGGGGCUAAUACCGGAUAGGAGCUCCUGCUGCAUGGUGGGGGUGGGAAAGUUUCGGCGGUUGGGGAUGGACUCGCGGCUUAUCAGCUUGUUGGUGGGGUAGUGGCUUACCAAGGCUUUGACGGGUAGCCGGCCUGAGAGGGUGACCGGCCACAUUGGGACUGAGAUACGGCCCAGACUCCUACGGGAGGCAGCAGUGGGGAAUAUUGCACAAUGGGCGGAAGCCUGAUGCAGCAACGCCGCGUGCGGGAUGACGGCCUUCGGGUUGUAAACCGCUUUCGCCUGUGACGAAGCGUGAGUGACGGUAAUGGGUAAAGAAGCACCGGCUAACUACGUG